AUGCAAGUCGAGCGGCAGCGGAAAGUAGCUUGCUACUUUGCCGGCGAGCGGCGGACGGGUGAGUAAUGUCUGGGAAACUGCCUGAUGGAGGGGGAUAACUACUGGAAACGGUAGCUAAUACCGCAUAACGUCGCAAGACCAAAGAGGGGGACCUUCGGGCCUCUUGCCAUCAGAUGUGCCCAGAUGGGAUUAGCUAGUAGGUGGGGUAACGGCUCACCUAGGCGACGAUCCCUAGCUGGUCUGAGAGGAUGACCAGCCACACUGGAACUGAGACACGGUCCAGACUCCUACGGGAGGCAGCAGUGGGGAAUAUUGCACAAUGGGCGCAAGCCUGAUGCAGCCAUGCCGCGUGUAUGAAGAAGGCCUUCGGGUUGUAAAGUACUUUCAGCGGGGAGGAAGGCGUUGAGGUUAAUAAACCUCAGCGAUUGACGUUACCCGCAGAAGAAGCACCGGCUAACUCCGUGCCAGCAGCCGCGGUAAUACGGAGGGUG
rnacentral:rRNA from 1 species